rnacentral:tRNA from 1 species
GCCCCCAUAGCCCAAUUGGCAGAGGCCGCGGACUUAAAAUCCGUCCAGUGUGGGUUCGAGUCCCACUGGGGGCA